GCCCCUCCAGCGAGAGAUGCUCUGUCAUCCUGCGCGAAGCCUGGUCCAAGGCGGGGGCCGGCGUUCAGAGGUCAGCCCGACUCCGGAGCAGAGUGCGCGACUGCGGUCUCCAGGUUUGCAAUCUACAGCCGUUUCUGAACUCAUCGCACCAUCUGUGUUUUUUGCAAGCAUCACUUCUUAUGACUCAGACCUCAAUUCAGAAACCCAGAAACCAUGAGGAAUAUGAUUGAGGAAAGCAUACAGAGAUCUAAGGCCUAGUCUUCAAUCUCUCAGUAAUGUAAUGGUAAAUUUAGUGGUCUGGAACUAAACCUGCAGUGUCUCCGAGGUGUGCCUGUACUUACAUCCAACACCCUGAUCUUGACGUUCCUUGACGUCCUUCAACCAGCCCCUUCCCAAAGCCACAGUCAGGACCAUGUUGCCUCCUUGAGCUCGUCUGUGUGUUGAUUUGUAUAGAGAUAACGCUUAGAAUUUUAAUGUAUACCUAAGUUUUUAAAAGGGUAGUCCAUUUUUAAUUAGCAAAUUAAUCCAUUUUUGAUGUUCACAGUUAUAAGUUUGGAGAAAUUUUACCAUUAUAUUUAUUAUGUACAUGUUCUCGUUUCAUUUUAUCCCUGUUUUGCUUUCUGUUAAUCAGAUUUUAUUGAUUUCAUUUUUAUUUUAACUGUUUAGGAGUUACACACUCUAUUUCUAUUUUGGUAGUAACCAAUAAGGUUUUGUUUUACAGUUUUAUUGAGGUAUAUAAUUUAUAUGCCAUACAAUAAACCCAUUGUAAGUGGAUGAUUUUUCAAUAAUCUUUUACAAAUUUAUACAAUUGUGUAGCCACCACUACAAUUCAGUUUUGGAACUCUUUCAUCAUCCUCUAAAAUGUCAUUAUGUCCUUUUGCAGUCAAUCCCCUCUCUCGCUCAGCUUCAGGCACACAUUGAUUUUCUAUCUCCAUAGUUUUGCCUUUUCUAGAAAUUUCAUGUAACUGCAAUCAUACAAUAUGUAAUCUUUGUGUCUGGCUUCUUUGACUUAGCAUAAUAAUUUGAGGUUCAUCCCCAUUGUUGCAUGUGUCAGCUGCUAAUUCCUGUUUAUUGUUGAGUAGUAUUCUUUGUACGGGUAUACCAUUUUUUUGUUUAUUCAUUUAUCAGUGAGUUGAUGAAUGUUUGGACUGUUUCCAAUUUUUGGCUUUUAUCAGGAAUGUUGCUAUGAAUGUUCACGUACAGGUCUUUGUAUAGACAUAUGUUUUCAGUUCUCUUGGGUAAAUAUCUAGGAGUAGAAUGGCUAGACUAUGUGAGAUCUGUGUGUUUCCACUAUUUGCCAUUUGGCAUAAACCAAGAAGGGGGAGGACCUAAGCUCUCUGGCUACUUGUACUCCAACCAGUAUUUCUGACAGUUUCAUUGGGCUCUCUCUUGCUCCCCCUGUACAGUCCUCCUGAACCUUUAGCAUCCCUAAAACCUCUCCCAUAUUUUUUUAAGUUAAUUAGUUAAUUUUAGUUUUGGCUGCGUUGCGUCUUCAUUGCUGCACGCAGGCUUCCUCUAGUUGC